rnacentral:rRNA from 1 species
UACAGAGGUCCCAAGCGUUACUGAGAAUCACUGGGUUUAAAGGGUGCGUAGGUGGUCCGUUAAGUCAGUUGUGAAAUCCCUGGGCUCAACCCAGGAACUGCGUCCGAUACUGGAAGGCUUGAAUCCGGGAGAGGGAUGCGGAAUUCCAGGUGUAGCGGUGAAAUGCGUAGAUAUCUGGAGGAACACCGGUGGCGAAGGCGGCAUCCUGGACCGGUAUUGACGCUGAGGCGCGAAAGCCAGGGGAGCAAACGGG